rnacentral:rRNA from 1 species
AGAGUUUGAUCAUGGCUCAGAAUCAACGCUGGCGGCGCGCUAACACAUGCAAGUCGCACGAGAAAGCAGGAGCAAUCUGUGAGUAAAGUGGCGUACGGGUGAGUAACACGUGGAUCAUCUACCCUGGAGUGGGGAAUAACGCUGGGAAACCGGCGCUAAUACCGCAUAUUCCCGAGAGGGGAAAGCAGCAAUGCGCUCGAGGAGGAGUCCGCGGCCGAUUAGCUAGUUGGUAGGGUAACGGCCUACCAAGGCUAUGAUCGGUAGCCGGCCUGAGAGGGCACACGGCCACACUGGCACUGAAACACGGGCCAGACUCCUACGGGAGGCAGCAGUGGGGAAUCUUGCACAAUGGGGGAAACCCUGAUGCAGCGACGCCGCGUGAGCGAUGAAGCCCUUCGGGGUGUAAAGCUCUUUCGGCAGGGAAGAUUAUGACGGUACCUGCAGAAGCAGCUGCGGCUAACUACGUGCCAGCAGCCGCGGUAAUACGUAGGCAGCAAGCGUUGUUCGGAGUUACUGGGCGUAAAGGGUGUGUAGGCGGCCCCCUAAGUUUGGUGUGAAAUCUCCCGGCUUAACCGGGAGGGUGCGCCGAAGACUGGAGGGCUAGAGUGCGGGAUGGGAGAGUGGAAUUCCUGGUGUAGCGGUGAAAUGCGUAGAUAUCAGGAGGAACACCUGUGGUGUAGACGGCUCUCUGGACCGCAACUGACGCUGAGACACGAAAGCGUGGGUAGCAAACAGGAUUAGAUACCCUGGUAGUCCACGCCCUAAACGAUGCAUAUUUGGUGUAGGUCAUUCAGUUGAUCUGUGCCGGAGCUAACGCGUUAAAUAUGCCGCCUGGGGAGUACAGUCGCAAGGCUGAAACUCAAAGGAAUUGACGG